rnacentral:rRNA from 1 species
CCUACGAGUGGCAGCAGUCGAGAAUCAUUCACAAUGGGGGAAACCCUGAUGGUGCGACGCCGCGUGGGGGAAUGAAGGUCUUCGGAUUGUAAACCCCUGUCAUGUGGGAGCAAAUUAAAAAGAUAGUACCACAAGAGGAAGAGACGGCUAACUCUGUGCCAGCAGCCGCGGUAAUACAGAGGUCUCAAGCGUUGUUCGGAAUCACUGGGCGUAAAGCGUGCGUAGGCUGUUUCGUAAGUCGUGUGUGAAAGGCGCGGGCUCAACCCGCGGACGGCACAUGAUACUGCGAGACUAGAGUAAUGGAGGGGGAACCGGAAUUCUCGGUGUAGCAGUGAAAUGCGUGGAUAUCGAGAGGAACACUCGUGGCGAAGGCGGGUUCCUGGACAUUAACUGACGCUGAGGCACGAAGGCCAGGGGAGCGAAAGGGAUUAGAUACCCUGGUAGUC